GGAAGGUGAAGUGGCCGCGGGGCCACACCGGUCUCGAAAACCGGGGGCGUUCACGCGCAGGGGUUCGACUCCUCCGCCUUCCG
rnacentral:tRNA from 1 species